rnacentral:piRNA from 1 species
UGUAUGCUGAUGAGUUCCACAUGGUC